AACGCACAUUGCGCCUUAGGGUAUUCCUUGAGGCAUGCCUGUUCGAGCGUCGUUAAAACUACAAAGCUUUGCUUUGCGUUGGAUUUGUUUUUGUAAUCAAAACAUAUCCCAAAACGAUUGGCGUUCGAAUCGACCUAAACGCAACAACUUGUGUUGAUGGUUUGAUUUUUGAGCUGUCUACUUUUAUUAUCAAUCUUUGUAAAAAACAGAUUGUAUUGUCGACCUCGGAUCAGGCAAGAUUACCCGCUGAACUUAA
rnacentral:misc_RNA from 1 species